CACACUACAGAGCAGCUGGGGGGCGGGGGUCUGGCCGGCCCCUCCCGCGCUUCUCCCCGGGGAGCAGGUGAGGCCCUAGUGCAGGGGUGGGCUGAUGCCAAGCCUCCGUGGGUGGGCACAGAUGUUGUGGGGGCUGCUCCAGGUCCCUGGGGGGCUCUGGGUGGACCAGGGCUAUGGGGGCAGCCUGGGGGUUCAGCCCUGUCUCCUUCGGGCAGUCUCUCCUGGACUUGGGGUGUGUGUCCACAUGUGCCAAGGGCCAGCCUAGCCGAGGAUGUGCUCUUCCAGAGGCCUCCGGAUUCAGGGUGUGGAUGGAGGUCUCAGGGGUGUCCAGGUACAAGUGAAUGUGAUAUCUAGAUCCAGGGAGGCCCAGGUACAGGUGAAUGUGAUGUGCAGACCCAGGGAAGUGUAGGUAUAGCUCAAGGAGAGGUUGAGACCCAGGACAGGUGCAGGUGCGUACAAAGGAGAUACCCAGACACUGGUUAGGACCAGUUCCAGGUACAGGGGCGGCCCAGGUACAGGUGAGGCCCAGAUUAAGGUACUGUGGAUGUCUAGUCUCAAGGAGGCUCAGGGUAGGCCCAGAUGUUGUAGUGAAGUGUAUUCCAGUCACAUGGGAGGCCCAGGUCCAGGUGCAGGUGAGAUCCAGGUACAACGGAAUCUAGAUCCAGGGGAGACCGAGUGAAGGCCCAUGUCCGGCCCAAGUUCAGGUGAGGUGAAUGUGCAGGUGCAGGUCCGGCCCAAGUUCAGGUGAGGUGAAUGUGCAGGUGCAGGUAAGGCCCAGGCCCAGGGAUAGUCCAGGGAUAGCCCAGGUGCAGAAAAUGUUCAGGUACAGGCGAAGUGGUAGGCCAGACCCAGGGAAGGCCCAGGCCCAGAAGCAGGGAAGGUCUAAACCAAGGGGAGGUCCAGGGGAAGUCCAGCUCCAGGAGAAGCCCAGGUGCAGCUUAAUGGGAGGUCCAGACCCAGAUGAGACCCAAGGAUGGUCGGGGUAGGACCAGACUCAUGGAAAGCCCAAGGGAAAUCCAGAUCCAGGUAAAGGUGGAGGGAGGGUCAGUAGCAGUGCAGGUGCUGAGAGGGCUCAGGCUCAGGGAAGCCCCCAUCCAGGCCCCGAUACCGGUGAUGUGUACUCAGUCCCAGUGGAGGCCCAGGGUCCUGGCUCUGACCCUCAGGAGCCAUGCUUGAGGGCCCCGGGUUCAGGCUGGUUUUCGCUGUUGGGUCUGUCACUGUGGUAGCUGUAACUGUAGUAACACAGUGGGACGUUCCUUGUCAAAAAGCCCAGGUGGGUGGCAGAAGGAGCCGUGCCCUGCCGGAGGCCCCUGGUCCUGGUGCUGCACUGGGUCUGUCGGCACAGGUGUCCCGUGCACCUGCCCCACCCUACAGAGCAGCUGGGGGGCGGGGGUCUGGCUGGCCCCUCCUGCGCUGUCUCCCCAGGGAGGAGGUGAGGCCCCAGUGCAGGGGUGGGCUGAUGCCAAGCCUCUGUGGGUGGGCACAGAUGUUGUGGGGGCUGCUCCGGGUCCCUGGGGGGCUCUGGGUGGACCAGGGCUAUGGGGGCAGCCUGCGGGGUCAGCCCUGUCUCCUUCGGGCAUUCCCCCCAGAUUCGGGUUGUGUGCCCACAUGUGCCAAGGACCGGCCUGGCCGAGGGUGUACUCUUCCGGAAGCCUCCGGAAUCAGGGUGUGGAUCAAGGGUCCCAGGGGUGUCCAGGUGAGGUCAGGUUUGGACCAGACUGAGGGGGCCCUGAGCACUGGGAUGGACGGUCCAGAGACAUGGGUCCCAGAGACAUGGGCACGAGGGUCCAGCCCUCCCCCUGGAGGAACUGUUUUCAAACCGUAUUGGAUCAGCCGCCCUGAAGGGGCUCAUAUGUGGCCCACCGUCGCGCUUCCCACAGGGCAGGGUGCCAGCCCACCUGGGCCUCACACAGGGAGCUGGUGGUGUGGGAACGGGGUCGCACGGGGUUGGGCUGUGUGGGGUUUGUGAUGGGCUCUGUGAUGCUGUGGUAGUAACAUGUCCCAGCAGUGCAAUAAUACCAGAGUGACACAGACCCACCCAGAAUCCUUCUUCCCUGGGGGGCCACCUGCCUGUGGGCCCAGCUGGGGAGCCUCCUGGGAGGCUCAGGCUGAAGCUUGGGAUGGAGGCGGAGCCUGGGGAGGUGGUGGGCAGGCCCAGAGCUGCAGGUGUGCUGCUGGAGCCCUGGAGGCCUCUUGCGCUCUGGUGGGGGCUCCCUGGCGGGGUGCGGCGCUGUGGGGCUCGUGUGUGUACCCAUCUUGGAUGCAACGACAUUGUGACAGCCUUCUGGGUUAACCGUGGCCCCAUGGUGUGGGGAUCACUCUGGGACCCUUCGUGUGCCGGGGCCAGCAGGUGGUUCCCAGCCAGGGAGGCCAGAGGUGGGGGGAGAGGGCAGGUGUCUCUCCUGGUGUCUCUGAGCCUUGGGACUCUGGGUCUGAAUUGUGCUCCGUGGCCUAGGGCGUCUGGAAGGGCGGUACCGGCUUGGCCUACCUGGACCCGGGCCUCUGGCUGUGCCUCUGAUGCUCAGCGGCUGUCUCCCUUGCCAUAUGCCUGUGGGCCCCUUGUCUCUAAAGCCGCUGUGGGGAUGGACCCAGAGCCUCUCCAGUCCCAGAGAACCUGUGUCCUGGGUGUCGCUUCGGUUCUUUCAGGUUCCAGGCAACCUGGAGCAGCUGCAGGUGAGCAGGUGCAGGUGUGUUCGAGGCCCGGAUAGAGUUGCGUGGUUGUCCAGACCCAGGGAGGCCCAGGACAGGAGCAGGGGCUGUCCAGACCCAGGGAGGCCCAGGUGCAGGGGCAGGGGAGGUCCAGACCCAGGGAGGCCCAGGUAUAGAUCAUGGGGAGGUCCAGACCCAGGACAGGUGCAGGUGCAUGGGAAGGAGAUAUCCAGACCCUGGUUAGGACAAGUUGCAGGUGCAAGGGAGGCCCAGGUGCAGGUGAGGCCCAGGUUAAGGUACUGUGGAUGUAUAGUCCCAGGGAGGCUCAGAAGGUGCCCAGAUGUUGUCGUGAAGAGUAUUCCAGUCAUAGGGGAGGCCCAGGUCCAGGUGCAGGGGAGGUCCAGAACCAGGAGAGGCCCAGGUGCAUUGGAAGGGGAUAUCCAGAUCCAGGUUAAGACCAGUUACAGGUGCGGGAGAGGCCCUGGUGCAGGUGAGGCCCGGAUUAAGGUGCUGUGGAUGUCAAGGGCCAGGGGAGGCCCAGAGGAGGCCGAGACCUGGAAAGCCCAGGGUCAGGUUUGGUGAGGUCCAGCCCCAAGGGAGGCCCAUGUCCAGCUGCUGGGAGGGCUAAUCCCAGGGGAGGUACAUCCAUUCAGAGGUGUGGCUCAGGUACAGGUGGAAGGGACGUCCAGACGCAGGAGAGGCUAAGGUGCAGGGGAAGGUGAGGCCCAGGUACGGGGGAGUCCCAGAUACAGGUGAAGUGGUAGUCCAGACCCAAGGGAAGGCCAGGUGCAGGUGCCCAGCUGGUCCAGACCCAGGGCUCAGAAGACCAGGUGUAGGUUAGGUCCAAAUCCAGGGGAGGUCCAGGUGCAGGUUAAAGGGAAGUCUGGACCCAGAGGAGACCGGGUUGCAGGAGAAGGUGAGGCCCAGUCCAAGCAGAGGCCUAGGUGAGGCCCAGGUGCAGGGGAGUCCCAGGUUCAGGUUUGGUGAAGCCCAGGCCCAGGGAGGCUGAGGGGAGGCCCAGAGGUUGCCCAGGUACCGGUGAAGUGUAUUCCAGUCACAGUGGAGGCCCAGAUACAGGUGCAGGAGAAUCCCACGUUCAGGUUUGGUGAGGCCCAGGCCCAGAGGAGGUCAACGGGAGGCCUAGAGCCAGGGGGCACCCAGGCCCAGGUGCAGGGGAAGGUCUAAACCAAGGGGAGGUCCAGGGGAAGUCCGGUCCCAGGAGAAGCCCAGGUGCAGCUUAAUGGGAGGUCCAGACCCAGAAGAGACCCAAGGAUGGUCAGGGGAGGACCAGACUCAUGGAAGGCCCAAGGGAAAUCCAGAUCCAGGUAAAGGUGGAGGGAGGGUCAGUAGCAGUGCAGGUGCUGAGCGUGCUCAGGCUCAGGGAAGCCCCCAUCCAGGCCCCGAUACCGGUGAUGUGUAUUCAGUCCCAGGGGAGGCCCAGGGUCCCGGCUCUGACCCUCAGGAGCCAUGCUUGAGGGCCCCGGGUUCAGGCUGGUUUUCGCUGCUGGGUCUGUCACUGUGGUAGCCACCGUAGUUACACAGUGGGACGUUCCUUGUCAAAAAGCCCAGGCGGGCGGCAGAAGGAGCCCUGCCCUGCCGGAGGCCCCUGGUCCUGGUGCCUCACUGGGUCUGUCGGCACAGGUGUCCCGUGCACCUGCCCCACACUACAGAGCAGCUGGGGGGCGGGGGUCUGGCCGGCCCCUCCCGCGCUUCUCCCCGGGGAGCAGGUGAGGCCCUAGUGCAGGGGUGGGCUGAUGCCAAGCCUCCGUGGGUGGGCACAGAUGUUGUGGGGGCUGCUCCAGGUCCCUGGGGGGCUCUGGGUGGACCAGGGCUAUGGGGGCAGCCUGGGGGUUCAGCCCUGUCUCCUUCGGGCAGUCUCUCCUGGACUUGGGGUGUGUGUCCACAUGUGCCAAGGGCCAGCCUAGCCGAGGAUGUGCUCUUCCAGAGGCCUCCGGAUUCAGGGUGUGGAUGGAGGUCUCAGGGGUGUCCAGGUACAAGUGAAUGUGAUAUCUAGAUCCAGGGAGGCCCAGGUACAGGUGAAUGUGAUGUGCAGACCCAGGGAAGUGUAGGUAUAGCUCAAGGAGAGGUUGAGACCCAGGACAGGUGCAGGUGCGUACAACGGAGAUACCCAGACCCUGGUUAGGACCAGUUCCAGGUACAGGGGCGGCCCAGGUACAGGUGAGGCCCAGAUUAAGGUACUGUGGAUGUCUAGUCUCAAGGAGGCUCAGGAGAGGCCCAGAUGUUGUAGUGAAGUAUAUUCCAGUCACAUGGGAGGCCCAGGUCCAGGUGCAGGUGAGAUCCAGGUACAACGGAAUCUAGAUCCAGGGGAGUCUAGAUCCAGGGGAGACCGAGUGAAGGCCCAUGUCCGGCCCAAGUUCAGGUGAGGUGAAUGUGCAGGUGCAGGUAAGGCCCAGGCCCAGGGAUAGCCCAGGUGCAGAAAAUGUUCAGGUACAGGCGAAGUGGUAGGCCAGACCCAGGGGAGGCCCAGGCCCAGAAGCAGGGAAGGUCUAAACCAAGGGGAGGUCCAGGGGAAGUCCAGCCCCAGGAGAAGCCCAGGUGCAGCUUAAUGGGAGGUCCAGACCCAGAAGAGACCCAAGGAUGGUCAGGGGAGGACCAGACUCAUGGAAGGCCCAAGGGAAAUCCAGAUCCAGGUAAAGGUGGAGGGAGGGUCAGUAGCAGUGCAGGUGCUGAGCGUGCUCAGGCUCAGGGAAGCCCCCAUCCAGGCCCCGAUACCGGUGAUGUGUAUUCAGUCCCAGGGGAGGCCCAGGGUCCCGGCUCUGACCCUCAGGAGCCAUGCUUGAGGGCCCCGGGUUCAGGCUGGUUUUCGCUGCUGGGUCUGUCACUGUGGUAGCCACCGUAGUUACACAGUGGGACGUUCCUUGUCAAAAAGCCCAGGCGAUGGGUGGCACAGCGGUUAAGCAUCUGCCUUCUGCUCAGGGCGUGAUCCCGGCGUUAUGGGAUCGAGCCCC